rnacentral:misc_RNA from 1 species
GGACUACAGGGGUAUCUAAUCCUGUUCGCUCCCCUAGCUUUCGCGUCUCAGCGUCAGGUGUGGCCCAGCAAGCCGCCUUCGCUACUGGUGUUCCUCCGAAUAUCUGCGCAUUUCACCGCUACACUCGGAAUUCCACUUGCCUCUACCACCCUCUAGCCCGGCAGUAUCCGUUGCACGCUCAGGGUUGAGCCCCAAGAUUUCACAACAGACUUACCGAACCGCCUACACGCUCUUUACGCCCAAUAAUUCCGGACAACGCUCGCUCCCUACGUAUUACCGCGGCUGCUGGCACGUAGUUAGCCGGAGCUUCCUCGAAAGGUACCGUCAAGCUCGAGGCUAUUAACCUCUCACCCUUCGUCCCUAACAACAGUGCUUUACGACCCGAAGGCCUUCCUCACAC